UACAGAGGGUGCAAGCGUUAAUCGGAAUUACUGGGCGUAAAGCGCGCGUAGGUGGUUUGUUAAGUUGGAUGUGAAAUCCCCGGGCUCAACCUGGGAAUUGCAUCUGUGACUGCAUCGCUAGAGUACGGUAGAGGGGGAUGGAAUUCCGCGUGUAGCAGUGAAAUGCGUAGAUAUGUGGAGGAAUACCGAUGGCGAAGGCAGCCCCCUGGGUCAAGACUGACGCUCAUGCACGAAAGCGUGGGGAUCAAACAGG
rnacentral:rRNA from 1 species